UACCAAGGCGAUGAUCCAUAGCUGGUCUGAGAGGACGAUCAGCCACGCUGGAACUGAGACACGGUCCAGACUCCUACGGGAGGCAGCAGCUAAGAAUAUUGGGCAAUGGAGGAAACUCUGACCCAGCCAUGCCGCGUGAAUGAAGAAGGCCUUCGGGUUGUAAAGUUCUUUUAGUCGUGAAGAUGAUGACAGUAGCGACAGAAAAAGCACCGGCUAACUUCGUGCCAGCAGCCGCGGUAAUACGAAGGGUGCAAGCGUUGUUCGGAUUUACUGGGCGUAAAGCGUCCGUAGGUGGUUUGUUAAGUCAGGGGUGAAAUCCCGGGGCCCAACCCCGGAACUGCCUUUGAUACUGGCAAGCUGGAGCGUGAUAGAGGAAGAUGGAAUAUCUGGUGUAGGGGUGAAAUCCGUAGAUAUCAGAUGGAACACCAAUGGCGAAGGCAGUCUUCUGGAUCAUUGCUGACACUGAGGGACGAAAGCGUGGGUAGCAAACAGAAUUAGAUACUCUGGUAGUCCACGCCCUAAACGAUGCAUGCUUGUUGUUGGUUCCCUUCGGGGUAUCAGUGACGUAGCUAACGCGUUAAGCAUGCCGCCUGGGGAGUACGAUCGCAAGAUUAAAACUUAAAGGAAUUGACGGGGACCCGCACAAGCGGUGGAGUAUGUUGUUUAAUUCGAUGCUACGCGAGAAACCUUACCGACCCUUGACAUCUUGGUCGCGACUUCCAGAGAUGGUUGUCUUCAAUUCGGUUGGACCAAAGACAGAUGCUGCAUGGCUGUCGUCAGCUCGUGUCGUGAGAUGUUAGGUUAAGUCCUGCAACGAGCGCAACCCACGCCCUAUGUUGCCAGCGGGUAAUGCCGGGAACUCUUAGGGGACUGCCCGCGUCAAGCGGGAGGAAGGUGUGGAUGACGUCAAGUCAUCAUGGUUCUUACGGGUCGGGCUACAAACGUACUACAAUGGCGACAACAAUGGGUCGCAAUGCCGCAAGGCAAAGCCAAUCCUGAAAAGUCGUCUCAGUUCAGAUUGUCCUCUGCAACUCGAGGGCAUGAAGCUGGAAUCGCUAGUAAUCGCGGAUCAGAAUGCCGCGGUGAAUACGUUC
rnacentral:rRNA from 1 species